GCCCUGGGUUCAAUCUCCAAGUACCACAAAAAACCACAAACAAACAAAGAUUGGAACUUGAAUCCUGGUUGUCUGGCUGGAAAAGCCAUGAUGAUAUUAACCACCCACUGUACUGAAUUCUGGUAAGAUUAGAUAAAAUUAGACAUCAGAUGAUUUUUCUUGAAAACAAAUUCAUAGAGCAGGUUCUGGGUACUUAUUUGCAUAGGUCAGAUUCUCUCAUUACUGAUGUGUGGAAAGAGGCAAGUUGACCACAUUAUGACUAGCAAGAGGGGCUGGAAGGUAGAAAACUGGAGGCAAAAUAGCACAAGGAGGCCGGGUACCUUCCUUGGAGGCAGUGGUGUUGGUAAAUAAUUAACAAUAGGUUGGGGGGGAAAGGUGUGUGUGUGGGGGUAGCAAGGCUUGAUUAGUAAGUAGCAUUUGCCAAAUGCCAAUAUGCAUGGCAUAAAUACUACUAUGGCUUAUUUCAAGAUGCCAACCUGUCUUGGGGGAGAAACUGGGAAAAGAUGCUAAUUGGCUCUGAUGCAGCUACAUCAGUGCCAGUGGGGGAGACUCCAAGAAUAUUCUAGACUCAAGCUCAGAAAGAUAUUUGGUUAACAGGCAACUGAUAGGAGGUAGAUACAGCACGAGUGUGCAGAGUAGGAAAGGGUCUGCACCCAGCCCAAGCCUCAGCGUUUCCUGGCAGCAUCCUCCCUGUGCAAGAUACAAUGUGCAGAGUCCUUCAAACUAGUUUCAUUACUGCUUUCCUUUGCUGUGUGAGUUUUAACUUUCAGCAUCCUAUUUAUGCAUCAGUGGGGCCUUUUCUUUCACUUAUGUCUCAGGCAGACCAUGGAGACAGAUCACUUGCCUGUAUUUUCCAAGAGCCUUGUCCUUCGAUAAAGCUGCUUUACCUGGCUAAGCUUUCAAAAGAAAUAAAGAAUCGAGUAGGUUAUUUACCUCUUUGGCCACUCUCAGUAAUUUUUAAACCUCAGUUCUUAUCCACUGUCCUGGCCAUCUGUGCCAUGCAAUGUAAACAAGCACAAAGGGCUGAUUAGCCUGCAGAGCACAGGCCAGCACCGCAGAGUGGAGAAACUCUUAGACCCACCCAAUUUCAUGGUGUAUAUAUUUGAUCACUGCCACCAGGCUUGUUGGAAAUGCAUCCUCCUGACCCUGGUCAGUCAC
rnacentral:lncRNA from 1 species